rnacentral:tRNA from 1 species
GUCUCUUUAGCUUAAUGGUAGAGCGCGUGUUUUCUAAACUCGUGAUGGGGGUUCGAUUCCCUCAAGAGAUU